rnacentral:rRNA from 1 species
GAUGAACGCUGACGGCGUGCCUAAUACAUGCAAGUCGAGCGAACGGACGGGAAGCUUGCUUCUCUGAUGUUAGCGGCGGACGGGUGAGUAACACGUGGAUAACCUACCUAUAAGACUGGGAUAACUUCGGGAAACCGGAGCUAAUACCGGAUAAUAUUUUGAACCGCAUGGUUCAAAAGUGAAAGACGGUCUUGCUGUCACUUAUAGAUGGAUCCGCGCUGCAUUAGCUAGUUGGUAAGGUAACGGCUUACCAAGGCAACGAUGCAUAGCCGACCUGAGAGGGUGAUCGGCCACACUGGAACUGAGACACGGUCCAGACUCCUACGGGAGGCAGCAGUAGGGAAUCUUCCGCAAAGGGCGAAAGCCUGACGGAGCAACGCCGCGUGAGUGAUGAAGGUCUUCGGAUCGUAAAACUCUGUUAUUAGGGAAGAACAUAUGUGUAAGUAACUGUGCACAUCUUGACGGUACCUAAUCAGAAAGCCACGGCUAACUACGUG